rnacentral:rRNA from 1 species
UACGUAGGUGGCAAGCGUUGUCCGGAAUUAUUGGGCGUAAAGCGCGCGCAGGCGGUCCUUUAAGUCUGAUGUGAAAGCCCACGGCUCAACCGUGGAAGGUCAUUGGAAACUGGAGGACUUGAGUACAGAAGAGGAAAGCGGAACUCCACGUGUAGCGGUGAAAUGCGUAGAGAUGUGGAGGAACACCAGUGGCGAAGGCGGCUUUCUGGUCUGUAACUGACGCUGAGGCGCGAAAGCGUGGGGAGCAAACAGG